ensembl:snoRNA
UCCUUUAAAUGAUGAUUUUAAAAGUUUGACUUUCGUUCUUCUGACUCCAAUGAAGCCAAACUUUCUUCUGAGAGGA